AUGGGAUCCAGACUUGGAGUUUGUUGCAAAGUUUUUAAAACAUUUACUGCAGGGGAGACAUUUGGUCUAGCAGUCAGGAUACCAUUUGGGAUGACCACAUUCUAUAUCACAAUGCCUGGGCUUCAGUCCUGGUUCCGGUUCUCUUUCCAUUCUCCUACUAUCUCAGACUCUGAGAGGCAGCAGGUGAUGGCUAAAAUGAUUGGAUCCCUGCCCCCAAUGUGUGAGACCUGGAUUGAGUUCUGGGCCUCUUGUUUAGGUCUGGAGAGUGAGCUAGCACUCUUUCUUUCUUUCUUUCUCUUUCUGUAUCUUAACUAAAUAAAACAAAGAAGUUAAUUCAUUGAGAUUUUUUAUUGCAAAACUUCUCCAAUGAUGACAAUCAAUAUGCAUUCUGGAUGAAAUGCUGAGUAGCAGAGAUAACAGUCCUGGAUCAUUAGGAGGAGAAUCAUUCCUUAGCUUGGACACAAGCAGCAGCUGUAGCUCUUUGCCUGAGAUCUAGGAAGGGACAGGCACCCACACUGGGAUCCUUUGCUUUGGAUAUGGGAAUUUAUAGUACUUCAGAGCUAAAGAUUUGAGCAAUGACAUAAAAAAUGGUAAUAAUUUGAUGAAAACUAACAGUCAAUUCAAUUGCAUUUCACAGGAACAAGUGUUGUUCUUUAAUAUGAUACGGGAUGGGAUUAGUUCUUUGAAGAUGUCCAGAAACAUCAAUCCAGUAAUGCAGGAAUGGAAUGUCAUGUUGAACAAAAUGCAAUAGCUGAAACACUGUCAUUACAAAGAGAUUCUGAAGUGUGCAAAGCUCUGGCUGAAGCAGAUGGAGUUAAUCAGACCACAUUUGAGACUUUUUUUCACCUCCCCUUGAAAUAAUUAGCUACGAGACUAUAAGUACAUUUUUCAUGUCAAAUGGACGAUGGCUUCAAAGAAACCAGAGGGCAGAGCCAUGAGAGAGUGAGAAAAGAAGACUGACUUGAUGCACAAAAGACAAAAUAUCAACAUUUCUUUUAGAACCACUGAACAUGUGUCAGUAAGCAUGAGGUCACUUUUUAACUGGAAACAAUAGUUGGUUGAAUGAGAGAAGCAAUGGAGUAGAGGUCAUCUUGCCUAUCAAUGAAAAAACUUCUAGACUACUGGGAGAGAAACACGAGCAUUGAGUAAGCCAUAAAUUCAAACAAUAUAGGUCAACGUACAACAAACUGCUAGAAAACUAAUGCUGGGUCUGGCACUGUGGCAUAGCAGGGAGCGACACCUCCAGUGAUGCCAGCGUCCCAUAUGGGAGAGGGUUUGUGUUGCAGCUGGUCCAGUUUUGCUCCAGCUCCAUGCU
rnacentral:lncRNA from 1 species